GGGCCGGUAGUCUAGCGGAAGGAUGCCCGCCUUGCACGCGGGUGAUCCCGGGUUCGAAUCCCGGCCGGUCCA
rnacentral:tRNA from 3 species